rnacentral:rRNA from 1 species
AUUGAACGCUGGCGGCAGGCCUAACACAUGCAAGUCGAGCGAGCGGCGGACGGGUGAGUAAUGUAUGGGGACUGCCCGUUAGAGGGGCAUAAUUACUGGAAACGGUAGCUAAUACCGCAUACUAUCGGAUAACCAAUAUUGGAUUAGCUAGUAGGUGAGGUAAUGGCUCACCUAGGCGACGAUCCCUAGCUGGUCUGAGAGGUGGAUCAGCCACACUGGGACUGAGACACGGUCCAGACUCCUACGGAGGCAGCAGUGGGGAAUAUUGCACAAUGGGCGCAAGCCUGAUGCAGCCAUGCCGCGUGUAUGAAGAAGGCCCUAGGGUUGUAAAGUGCUUUCAGUCGGGAGGCGUUACCGACAGAAGAAGCACCGGCUAACUCCGUGCCAGCAGCCGCGGUAAUUC